rnacentral:rRNA from 1 species
UACGUAGGGUGCAAGCGUUAAUCGGAAUUACUGGGCGUAAAGCGUGCGCAGGCGGUUCUGCAAGUCCGAUGUGAAAUCCCCGGGCUCAACCUGGGAACUGCAUUUGUGACUGCAUAGCUAGAGUACGGUAGAGGGGGAUGGAAUUCCGCGUGUAGCAGUGAAAUGCGUAGAUAUGCGGAGGAACACCGAUGGCGAAGGCAAUCCCCUGGACCUGUACUGACGCUCAUGCACGAAAGCGUGGGGAGCAAACAGG